AAAAACAUUGCUUUUUGAAAAUUAAUAAAAAGUAACUCCUGCCCAGUGACUCUAAGUUUAACGGCCGCGGUAUCCUAACCGUGCAAAGGUAGCAUAAUCACUUGCCCAUUAAUUGUGGGCUAGAAUGAACGGAUAAACGAAAUAUAAGCUGUCUCUGUAAGACACCUAAAAAUUAAUCUCUAAUUGAAGAGUAUUAGAUAAAGUUGAAGGACAAGAAGACCCUAUAGAGCUUUAUCCCAAUGAAAGAUAUUUUCACUAAGAUUCGGUUGGGGCGACCAGGGAAUACAUUAAUCACCCCGUUGUAGUAAGAUAAAUUAAUCUAGUUAAUGACCCUUAAACAAGAUCAUAAAAACAAGCUACCUUAGGGAUAACAGGCUAAUCCCACUAAAGAGUCCUUAUCCAUAGUGGGGUUUGGCACCUCGAUGUUGGCUUAGGGUAUCUAUGUGGCGCAAAAGUCAUAUAAAGAUGGUUUGUUCAACCAAUAACACCCUACAUGAUCU
rnacentral:rRNA from 1 species